CCUACGGGAGGCAGCAGUGGGGAAUAUUGCACAAUGGAGGAAACUCUGAUGCAGCAACGCCGCGUGGAGGAUGACACUUUUCGGAGCGUAAACUCCUUUUAUAUAUGAAGAUAAUGACGGUAAUAUAUGAAUAAGCACCGGCUAACUCCGUGCCAGCAGCCGCGGUAAUACGGGGGGUGCAAGCGUUACUCGGAAUCACUGGGCGUAAAGAGAAUGUAGGCGGGUAAAAAAGUUAGAAGUGAAAUCCUGUGGCUUAACCAUAGAACUGCUUCUAAAACUCUUUACCUAGAAUAUGGGAGAGGUAGAUGGAAUUUCUGGUGUAGGGGUAAAAUCCGUAGAGAUCAGAAGGAAUACCGAUUGCGAAGGCGAUCUACUGGAACAUUAUUGACGCUGAGAUUCGAAAGCGUGGGGAGCAAACAGGAUUAGAUACCCUGGUAGUCCACGCCCUAAACGAUGUACACUAGUUGUUGCGAUACUAGAUAUUGCAGUAAUGCAGUUAACACAUUAAGUGUACCGCCUGGGGAGUACGGUCGCAAGAUUAAAACUCAAAGGAAUUGACGGA
rnacentral:rRNA from 1 species